AGAGAUGUGUGAUGACGCAUAUCAAUAAGCGGAGGAAAAGAAACUAACAAGGAUUCCCUUAGUAACGGCGAGUGAAGCGGGAAGAGCUCAAAUUUGAAAUCUUCAAGGUUCUACCUUGACGAAUUGUAGUUUAAAGAAGUGUUUUCUGUUAGUGGAGUGGCAAAAGUUCUUUGGAAUAGGACAUCAUAGAGGGUGAGAAUCCCGUAUUUGGUCAUUCCUUCUAGCUUUGUGAUACACUUUCAAAGAGUCGGAUUGUUUGGGAAUGCAGUCCAAAAUGGGUGGUAAAUUUCAUCUAAAGCUAAAUAUUGGCGAGAGACCGAUAGCGAACAAGUACCGUGAGGGAAAGAUGAAAAGAACUUUGAAAAGAGAGUUAAACAGUACGUGAAAUUGUCAAAAGGGAAGCGUUUGACACCAGUGUUGUUUUUCCGAAAAUCAAUUACGAAUGUUUUAUUUUUGAGAAGUUAUGACUUCAUCGGCUUGCUUCUCUCUUUAUGAAACUUUCUUAAUGCACUUUUCGGUUAACAAGUCAACAUCAAUUUCUUUUGUUGUAAAAGGGUAUGAGGAAGGUGGCUUUCUUUUCGGAGAAAGUGUUUAUAGCCUUGUACCUCUGCAAUCGGAGAGAAUGAGGUCUGCAGCGUAGAUCCUUCGGGGUUAGAUACAUUUGUGCUAAGUUAUAGCUUUUCAUAGACAACUUGUUGACUAUGUUUAGUCUUGUAGCUUACUCGCUUAUGCUAUUUUACCUACGCUUAGGAUGUUGAAGAUGUAGCACAUCAU
rnacentral:rRNA from 1 species